rnacentral:rRNA from 1 species
CAGCACCUCAAGUGGUCAGGAUGAUUAUUGGGCCUAAAGCAUCCGUAGCUCGUUUUGUAAGUUUUCGGUUAAAUCCAUACGCUUAACGUAUGGGCUGCCGGGAAUACUGCAUAACUAGGAAGUGGGAGAGGUAGACGGUACUCGGUAGGAAGGGGUAAAAUCCUUUGAUCUAUUGAUGACCACCUGUGGCGAAGGCGGUCUACCAGAACACGUUCGACGGUGAGGGAUGAAAGCUGGGGGAGCAAACCGGAUUAGAUACCCGAGUAGUCC